GACAGAGGAUGCAAGCGUUAUCCGGAAUGAUUGGGCGUAAAGCGUCUGUAGGUGGCUUUUAAGUCCGCCGUCAAAUCCCAGGGCUCAACCCUGGACAGGCGGUGGAAACUACCAAGCUGGAGUACGGUAGGGGCAGAGGGAAUUUCCGGUGGAGCGGUGAAAUGCGUAGAGAUUGGAAAGAACACCGAUGGCGAAGGCACUUUACUGGGCUAUUACUAACACUCAGAGACGAAAGCUAGGGAGCGAAUG
rnacentral:rRNA from 1 species